rnacentral:rRNA from 1 species
UACGUAGGGUGCAAGCGUUGUCCGGAAUUAUUGGGCGUAAAGAGCUCGUAGGCGGUGUGUCGCGUCGGCCGUGAAAACCUGGGGCUUAACUCUGGGCGUGCGGUCGAUACGGGCAUCACUGGAGUUCGGCAGGGGAGACUGGAAUUCCUGGUGUAGCGGUGAAAUGCGCAGAUAUCAGGAGGAACACCGGUGGCGAAGGCGGGUCUCUGGGCAGUAACUGACGCUGAGGAGCGAAAGCGUGGGGAGCGAACAGG